rnacentral:rRNA from 1 species
GUGAGGAAUAUUGGUCAAUGGGCGAGAGCCUGAACCAGCCAAGUCGCGUGAAGGAAGAAGGAUCUAUGGUUCGUAAACUUCUUUUUUAGGGGAAUAAAGUGCGGUACGUGUACCGUUUUGUAUGUACCCUACGAAUAAGGAUCGGCUAACUCCGUGCCAGCAGCCGCGGUAAUACGGAGGAUCCGAGCGUUAUCCGGAUUUAUUGGGUUUAAAGGGUGCGUAGGCGGAAGAAUAAGUCAGUGGUGAAAGUUUGCAGCUCAACUGUAAAAUUGCCGUUGAAACUGUUUUUCUUGAGUGUAAAUGAGGUAGGCGGAAUGUGUUGUGUAGCGGUGAAAUGCUUAGAUAUGACACAGAACACCGAUUGCGAAGGCAGCUUACUAAGAUACAACUGACGCUGAGGCACGAAAGCGUGGGGAUCGAACAGGAUUAGAUACCCUUGUAGUCC